rnacentral:rRNA from 1 species
UACAGAGGUCCCGAGCGUUGUUCGGAUUCACUGGGCGUAAAGGGUGCGUAGGUGGUCGGGUAAGUCUGAUGUGAAAUCUCUGGGCUCAACCCAGAAACUGCAUUGGAUACUAUUCGGCUAGAGGAGUGGAGGGGGGACUGGAAUACUUGGUGUAGCAGUGAAAUGCGUAGAUAUCAAGUGGAACACCAGUGGCGAAGGCGAGUCCCUGGACACUUCCUGACACUGAGGCACGAAAGCUAGGGGAGCAAACAGG